UACGGGAGGCAGCAGUGGGGAAUAUUGCACAAUGGGCGAAAGCCUGAUGCAGCUAUGCCGCGUGUAUGAAGAAGGCCUUAGGGUUGUAAAGUACUUUCAUCGGGGAGGAAAAAACAAAACUAAUAAUUUUAUUUCUUGACGUUACCCGAAAAAGAAGCACCGGCUAACUCCGUGCCAGCAGCCGCGGUAAUACGGAGGGUGCUAGCGUUAAUCAGAAUUACUGGGCGUAAAGAGCACGUAGGUGGUUUUUUUAAGUCAGAUGUGAAAUCCCUGGGCUUAACCUAGGAACUGCAUUUUGAAACUGAAAUACUAGAGUAUCGUAGAGGGAGGUAGAAUUCUAGGUGUAGCGGUGAAAUGCGUAGAUAUCUGGAGGAAUACCUGUGGCGAAAGCGGCCUCCUAAACGAAUACUGACACUGAGGUGCGAAAGCGUGGGGAGCAAACAGGGAUAGAUACC
rnacentral:rRNA from 1 species